AGGUGACAAAACUGAAAACAGAAGAAAAAACUUACGUUUUAACAAGUGUUAUUAAAUGCUGGUUUUGGACUAAAAGAGGAUAUGGGUUUAAUGAAAAAACUUAAUUUUUAGGAAAAAAAAAAAGGUGGAAUUUGAGUAGAAUACAACAAAAAGUCUUAGAGUUUGAUUGGUAACACAAAACUUUAGCUGUUACGGAAUAAUGUAAAACUGUACAAAAGAGCUGUAAAAAAAAAUUGUAUCAAAAAGCUGAGAGUAAAGCUUUUCGUAACGCUUUUGAUAAAGUUUUUGUAAAUGGUAAUUGUCAAAGCUGUACAAACUGUACUGUUUUGAUAAUGGGUUACCAUUCAAAGCUUUAAAUUUUAAAUCGCAUGAUAACCUGUAAAUAAUUAUUUUGAAUAUAUGUUAGACUUUAUUAUUAUUGGUUAACUAUGUUCUCUUGAUU
rnacentral:sRNA from 1 species